GAAAUACUCCCUCUGUCCCAAAAUUCUUCUCUUAGAUUUGUCUAAAUACAGAUGUAUCAAGUCACGUUUUGGUAUUAGAUACAUCCAUAUCUAGACUAAUCCAAGACAAAAAAUCUGGGACGGAGGGAGUAUAAG
rfam:Triticum urartu cultivar G1812 contig597649, whole genome shotgun sequence.